GUCUUGAGUUCGUUGGCCGAGCUUCCGAAUGUGAUCAAGGUUAUAAAAUGGAUCUCAACUUUAUUGAUGAAGAGAUAAUGUCUGUUUGUUUUUAAAAUAAAUCAUGAUCCUAUGAAAUUUGAUUGAUAUGUUUGUAGCUUUUGAUUUUGUCCAUGAUUUGUUAUUGUUUAUUCGGAUGCUUGCAUUGGUGUACCAUGUGAUUACGAGUAGAUUGAUUUUGAUAUGUCUGUAAAAAGGAGAAAUCCCAAUGCAAAUUAGAAAACCUGGUGAUGUCUGUUUAUUCAUCAUGGUUAAUAUCAAUUUGAAUAUUAUGCAGACGAACGAUAGUUUAAAAAUAGAUAUUUUUUGAUUUUUUUCUUUUAUGACAAACUGAAAAUUUGGAUGCUAAAUGUUCUUCAGGUAGAUCUUGCUGGAUUUGUUAUUUGGUGUUGAAGUCUUGGGUUCUUUGGCCGAGCUUCCGAAUGUGAUCAAGGUUAUAAAAUGGAUCUCAACUUUAUUGAUGAAGAGGUAGAUCUUGCUGGAUUUGUUAUUUGGUGUUAAAGUCUUGAGUUCGUUGGCCAACCUUCCGAAUGUGAUCAAGAUGCUUGCAUUGGUGUAUGUGAGCUGUUAAAGAGGAAGCACUUAUGUACUUAAGGCCUGAUCAACCAAAGGAAAACCACUGCUCAGUAACAGCAGUGGUCCAGUACCUACAGCGGAUUACAUAAAGGGAAGCUGAUGGUGACAUCAUAAUUCAAAGAUAUGCCAUCGAAACCAAUGCCCCAAUUUUUAUUUUCAAAGGUCUGGCCCACAUUCAAUUAUGAAACCGCUGAUGUUCAUUGAAAUUUCAAACGACUGAUGCUCAUUAAAAUAGGAGGGUAAUUUGAAAUUUAAAACUUCAUAGGGAUAUGUAAUUUGCAUUUAUGAUCGACUUUUGAUUUGGGUUUGAAUUUA